ACGGGGGGUGCGAGCGUUAUUCGGAAUUACUGGGCGUAAAGAGCGCGUAGGCGGUCUUUUAAGUCAGGUGUGAAAGCCCGGGGCUCAACCCCGGAAGUGCACUUGAAACUAAGAGACUUGAGUAUGGGAGAGGGAAGUGGAAUUCCUGGUGUAGCGGUGAAAUGCGUAGAUAUCAGGAGGAACAUCGGUGGCGAAGGCGACUUCCUGGACCAAUACUGACGCUGAGGCGCGAAGGCGUGGGGAGCAAACAGG
rnacentral:rRNA from 1 species